UACGUAGGGGGCAAGCGUUGUCCGGAAUUAUUGGGCGUAAAGCGCGCGCAGGCGGUCCGUUAAGUCGGAUGUGAAAGCCCACGGCUCAACCGUGGAGGGUCAUUGGAAACUGGGGGACUUGAGUGCAGAAGAGGAAAGCGGAAUUCCACGUGUAGCGGUGAAAUGCGUAGAGAUGUGGAGGAACACCAGUGGCGAAGGCGGCUUUCUGGUCUGUAACUGACGCUGAGGCGCGAAAGCGUGGGGAGCAAACAGG
rnacentral:rRNA from 1 species